rnacentral:rRNA from 1 species
AACGAACGCUGGCGGCGCGCCUAACACAUGCAAGUCGAACGAGAAUCCGGGGCAACCCGGUAGUAAAGUGGCAAACGGGUGAGGAAUACAUGGGUAACCUACCCUUGAGAAGGGAAUAACCCGCCGAAAGGUGAGCUAAUACCCUAUACGCUAUCUUUUUUUCGAAAAGGAUAGGAAAGCCGGGUCGAGGACCUGGUACUCAAGGAGGGGCUCAUGUCCUAUCAGCUUGUUGGUGGGGUAACGGCCUACCAAGGCUACGACGGGUAGCUGGCCUGAGAGGAUGAUCAGCCACACUGGCGCUGAGAUACGGGCCAGACUCCUACGGGAGGCAGCAGUGAGGAAUAUUGCGCAAUGGGCGAAAGCCUGACGCAGCGACGCCGCGUGGGGGAUGAAGGUUUUCGGAUUGUAAACCCCUUUCAUGAGGAAAGAUAAAGUGGGUAACCACUUAGACGGUACCUCAAGAAGAAGCCACGGCUAACUUCGUG